GCUAAUACCGAAUAAUAACAUCAAUAUCGCAUGAGAAGAUGUAGAAAGUCGCGUUUGCGACGCUUUUGGAUGGGGGUGCGACGUAUCAGAUAGUUGGUGAGGUAAUGGCUCACCAAGUCAAUGACGCGUAGCUGUACUGAGAGGUAGAACAGCCACAAUGGGACUGAGACACGGCCCAUACUCCUACGGGAGGCAGCAGGG
rnacentral:rRNA from 1 species